AGUGAACGCUGGCGGUAGGCCUAACACAUGCAAGUCGAACGGCAGCACAGAGGAGCUUGCUCCUUGGGUGGCGAGUGGCGGACGGGUGAGGAAUACAUCGGAAUCUACUCUGUCGUGGGGGAUAACGUAGGGAAACUUACGCUAAUACCGCAUACGACCUACGGGUGAAAGCAGGGGAUCUUCGGACCUUGCCGGAUUGAAUGAGCCGAUGUCGGAUUAGCUAGUUGGCGGGGUAAAGGCCCACCACGGCGACGAUCCGUAGCUGGUCUGAGAGGAUGAUCAGCCACACUGGAACUGAGACACGGUCCAGACUCCUACGGGAGGCAGCAGUGGGGAAUAUUGGACAAUGGGCGCAAGCCUGAUCCAGCCAUACCGCGUGGGUGAAGAAGGCCUUCGGGUUGUAAAGCCCUUUUGUUGGGAAAGAAAUCCAUCUGGUUAAUACCCGGGUGGGAUGACGGUACCCAAAGAAUAAGCACCGGCUAACUUCGUGCCAGCCGCCGCAGUAA
rnacentral:rRNA from 1 species